rnacentral:rRNA from 1 species
AUGCUCCAGUACUUCUACGGCAAGGUCGUUCUCUCGGCCUCCCCGCACCCGGGCUGCUACGCCGCGAUGCUCAUCCUGCACAGGGACUUCGGCGCCCCGGCCUUCGCGUCGGCGGAGGACCCCGUGUGGCGCCUGGCGCCCUCGCCCGACGCCAUCGACGACGCCAUCCACCACGACGGCCGGUUCUACUCCGUCACGUGCUCGGGCGUCGUGCAGGCGUGGAAGCCCGACCCUGGUGCCGACGGCGAGAUGACCGGCACGGCGGUCGCGCCGAGGCUGACGCUGGCGGAUCAGGACAAGGCGGGCGCGGCGGGGCAGUGGGAGGAGACCCACGACAUCGGCGAGGCGGCCCAGUUCGUCGGGCUGAACAACUCGCUGUGCGUGUCGACGAAGGAGCACGCCGGGCUCAGGGCCGGCCGCGUCUACUUCACCGACGACGAGCUGGAGCACGCGGCGUGGCGCACGGAGGAGCGCAAUCGCUAUCUCUACGGCAGGCGUGGCUUUCAGAAGCGGUGCAUCGGGGUUUACGACCUCAAGAGCGGCAGGAUGAAGAAGGUCAGGUCGUCCGUGGAGCGGCCCAGCUUCUGGCCGCCGGCAGCCUGGUUCACGCCUUCGACGGUCUCAACGUAG